rfam:Oryza sativa Japonica Group DNA, chromosome 5, cultivar: Nipponbare, complete sequence.
AAUUACUCCAUUUUUCAGUUCUUGAUAUAACGUUUGACUUUUCGUCUUAUUUAAAAAUUUUCUAUGAUUAGUAUUUUUAUUGUUAUUAGAUAAUUAGAUAAUAAAAUAUGAAUAGUAUUUUAUGUGUUACUAAUUUUUUAAAAAAAAAUUAUAUAAGACGGAUGGUGAAACGUUGGACAUAAAAAACUAAAAAUGAAGUCAGA